rnacentral:rRNA from 1 species
AAUAGAUACCCGGGUAGUCCACGCCGUAAACGAUGGAUACUAGCUGUCCGGCGCAAGCUGGGUGGCUAAGCGAAAGUGAUAAGUAUCCCACCUGGGGAGUACGUUCGCAAGAAUGAAACUCAAAGGAAUUGACGGGGGCCCGCACAAGCGGUGGAGCAUGUGGUUUAAUUCGAUGAUACGCGAGGAACCUUACCAGGGCUUAAAUGUAGUGGGACAGGUCCAGAGAUGGGCCCUUCUUCGGACUCAUUACAAGGUGCUGCAUGGUUGUCGUCAGCUCGUGCCGUGAGGUGUCAGGUUAAGUCCUAUAACGAGCGCAACCCCUGUCGUUAGUUGCCAGCGAGUGAAGUCGGGAACUCUAACGAGACUGCCGGUGCAAACCGUGAGGAAGGUGGGGAUGACGUCAAAUCAUCACGGCCCUUACGUCCUGGGCUACACACGUGCUACAAUGGCCGGUACAGAGAGCAGCCACGCCGCAAGGCGGAGCGAAUCUACAAAACCGGUACACAGUUCGGAGUCGGGGUCUGCAACUCGA